AGAUUAAGCCAUGCAUGUCUAAGUACAAGCCUCACUAAGGUGAAACCGCGAAUGGCUCAUUAAAUCACACCUAAUCUACUGGAUAGUUAACAGUUACUUGGAUAACUGCGGUAAUUCUGGAGCUAAUACAUGCACAAAGCCUCGAACUUACGUGAGAGGCGCUUUUAUUAGAUCAAAACCAAACGUUUUCGAACGUUUUCUUGGUGACUCUGAAUAACUUUGGGCUGAUCGCAUAGCCUAGCGCUGGCGACAUAUCCUUCGAAGGUGUGCCCUAUCAACUGUCGACUGUGGCAUAGACGCCCACAGUGGUUUUGACGGGUAACGGGGAAUCAGGGUUCGAUUCCGGAGAGGGAGCCUUAAAAACGGCUACCACAUCUAAGGAAGGCAGCAGGCACGCAAAUUACCCAAUGACCGAAGGUCGAGGUAGUGACGAAAAAUAACGAUACGGGACUCUUCCGAGGCCCCGUAAUCGGAAUGAGUACACUUUAAAACCGUCCCCGAGGAUCUAUUGGAGGGCAAGUCUGGUGCCAGCAGCCGCGGUAAUUCCAGCUCCAAUAGCGUAUAUUAAAGUUGUUGUGGUUAAAAAGCUCGUAGUUGGAUCUCGGCAGUCUGAGGUUGGUGUACUUGCUAGUACUACUGC
rnacentral:rRNA from 1 species